CUUUGAAAGGCUGCUAAUUUCUGCCCUGACUUCAUUUGCUCAGCUAAGCAUCGCGACGAUGGCAUUUCGUCUUCACCUGUUGUUGGUCUUUUGUGGCAUCAGUGGAUUGUUCACCAGAACGUGGACCUUCACCCUA